GAUGAACGCUGGCGGCGUGCCUAAUACAUGCAAGUCGAGCGAGCAGAUGAGGAGCUUGCUCCUCUGACGUUAGCGGCGGACGGGUGAGUAACACGUGGAUAACCUACCUAUAAGACUGGGAUAACUUCGGGAAACCGGAGCUAAUACCGGAUAAUAUAUUGAACCGCAUGGUUCAAUAGUGAAAUACGGUUUUGCUGUCACUUAUAGAUGGAUCCGCGCCGCAUUAGCUAGUUGGUAAGGUAACGGCUUACCAAGGCAACGAUGCGUAGCCGACCUGAGAGGGUGAUCGGACACACUGGAACUGAGAAAGGGUCCAGACUCCUACGGGAGGCAGCAGUAGGGAAUCUUACGCAAUGGGCGAAAGCCUGACGGAGCAACGCCGCGUGAGUGAUGAAGGUCUUCGGAUCGUAAAACUCUGUUAUUAGGGAAGAACAAAUGUGUAAGUAACUAUGCACGUCUUGACGGUACCUAAUCAGAAAGCCACGGCUAACUACGUG
rnacentral:rRNA from 1 species